GGGUGUUCUCAGGGCGGGGUGUAAUUCCCCACCGGCGGUGAGAGUGUCCUCCAGAUGGGGAGGCUCAAGCCCGCGAGCGCCACCGUAUUCCGCUUAUGGAGGGUGGGUCAGCAGAUCCGGUGUGAUUCCGGAGCCGACGGUCAUAGUCCGGAUGGAAGAGAACCGUG
rfam:Corynebacterium efficiens YS-314 DNA, complete genome.